GUGCUCCCUUUCACAGCACAUAUAUGGAAUUGGAAUGAUAUGGAGAUUAGCAUGGGUCCUGUGCAAGGAUGACACACAGUUCAAGAAGCAUUCUAUAUCAUA